UACGUAGGGGGCUAGCGUUGUCCGGAAUCAUUGGGCGUAAAGCGCGCGUAGGCGGCCAGAUAAGUCCGGUGUGAAAGUCAAAGGCUCAACCUUUGAAUGCCGCUGGAAACUGUCUGGCUCGAGUCCGGAAGGGGCGAGUGGAAUUCCUGGUGUAGCGGUGAAAUGCGCAGAUAUCAGGAGGAACACCAAUGGCGAAGGCAGCUCGCUGGAACGGUACUGACGCUGAGGCGCGAAAGCGUGGGGAGCAAAAGGG
rnacentral:rRNA from 1 species